rnacentral:rRNA from 1 species
GGGAUUGCCCCAGUAACGGCGAGUGAAGCGGCAACAGCUCAAAUUUGAAAUCUGGCCACCGCCCGAGUUGUAAUUUGCAGAGGAUGCUUUUGGCGCGGCGCCCUCCGAGUUCCCUGGAACGGGACGCCGGAGAGGGUGAGAGCCCCGUACGGUGGGACGCCUAGCCUCUGUAAAGCUCCUUCGACGAGUCGAGUAGUUUGGGAAUGCUGCUCAAAACGGGAGGUAUAUGUCUUCUAAAGCUAAAUACCGGCCAGAGACCGAUAGCGCACAAGUAGAGUGAUCGAAAGAUGAAAAGCACUUUGAAAAGAGGGUUAAACAGUACGUGAAAUUGUUGAAAGGGAAGCGCUCGUGACCAGACUCGGCCCCGGCGGAUCAUCCGGCGUUCUCGCCGGUGCACUCCGCCGGCCGGGCCAGCAUCGGUUCGCCCCGCGGGGGAUAAAGGCGCCGGGAACGUGGCUCCAGUGUUAUAGCCCGGCGCGCAAUGCCCCGCGGCGGACCGAGGGCAAGGAUGCUGGCGUAAUGGUCACCAGCGACCCGUCUUGAAACACGGACCAAGGAGUCGUCCUCGUAUGCGAGUGUUCGGGCGUAAAACCCGUACGCGCAAUGAAAGUGAACGUAGGUGGGAGCCUCGGCGCACCAUCGACCGAUCCUGAUGUUCUCGGAUGGAUUUGAGUAAGAGCAUACGGGGCCGGACCCGAAAGAAGGUGAACUAUGCCUGCGUAGGGUGAAGCCAGAGGAAACUCUGGUGGAGGCUCGCAGCGGUUCUGACGUGCAAAUCGAUCGUCAAACGUGGGCAUGGGGNNNAAAGACUAAUCGAAC